AGCAGCCGCGGUAAUUCCAGCUCCAAUAGCGUAUAUUAAAGUUGUUGCAGUUAAAAAGCUCGUAGUUGAAUUUCGGGGUUAGUAGGUUGGUCAUGCCUCUGGUAUGUACUGGUCUCACUGAUUCCUCCUUCCUGAUGAACCGUAAUGCCAUUAAUUUGGUGUUUCGGGGAAUUUGGACUGUUACUUUGAAAAAAUUAGAGUGUUUAAAGCAAGCUAACGCUUGAAUACAUUAGCAUGGAAUAAUGAAAUAGGACGUUCGAUCCUAUUUUGUUGGUUUCUAGGAUUGACGUAAUGAUUAAUAGGGAUAGUUGGGGGCAUUAGUAUUCAAUUGUCAGAGGUGAAAUUCUUGGAUUUAUUGAAGACUAACUACUGCGAAAGCAUUUGCCAAGGAUGUUUUCAUUAAUCAAGAACGAAAGUUAGGGGAUCGAAGACGAUCAGAUACCGUCGUAGUCUUAACCAUAAACUAUGCCGACUUGGGAUCGGAUGAUGUUAAUUUUUUAAUGACUCAUUCGGCGCCUUGCG
rnacentral:rRNA from 1 species